CUUGCCGGUGGUGCUCUAAUGCCUUGGUGGUAGUGAUGCUCUUAUUCCUUUGUAAUAAAAAUUUAUAAAAGACUUAGACAAAAAAAAGUACAAAAAAGAAAAUAAAAAGUAAAAAAGGUCCGGUUUGGGCAGGCCCAUGCCUUGACAUUUGAAACCUUAGUCUGGCUUGAAAAUUCAAAAAAGCCCAUGAGGCCUAGCCUGAGCCUGACCCAAACCCAAAAAUUCCAGGCAACCCUAACCUGAC
rnacentral:lncRNA from 1 species